CCUACGGGAGGCAGCAGUGAGGAAUAUUGGUCAAUGGACGAGAGUCUGAACCAGCCAAGUAGCGUGAAGGAUGACUGCCCUAUGGGUUGUAAACUUCUUUUAUAAAGGAAUAAAACGAGGCACGUGUGCCUUUUUGCAUGUACUUUAUGAUUCAGGAUCGGCUAACUCCGUGCCAGCAGCCGCGGUAAUCCGGAGGUUCCGAGCGUUAUCCGGAUUUAUUGGGUUUAAAGGGAGCGUAGAUGGGUUGUUAAGUCAGUUGUGAAAGUUUGCGGCUCAACCGUAAAAUUGCAAUUGAUACUGGCAGUCUUGAGUACAGGUGGGGUAGGCGGAAUUCGUGGUGUAGCGGUGAAAUGCGUAGAUAUCACGAAGAACCCCGAUUGCGAAGGCAGCUUACUAAACUGUGACUGACAUUGAUGCUCGAAAGUGUGGGGAGCAAACAGGAUUAGAUACCCGGGUAGUC
rnacentral:rRNA from 1 species